rnacentral:lncRNA from 1 species
CUUUAAGCCUCCCUUAAUUUUUUUGAAGCCCAGUUUCCACAUUGCUGAUUCACAGAUAUGCAAGACUCAGGCAGGAAAAAAAAAAGUGUCUCCUUUUCCAGACUUCUUAGAGGACUUGGAAAGAAAAUGAAAUGACGUUGAACGAAAUCAAAGUAAAUUGAGUGAUCUGAAACGAUUUGAUGUCAGCAAGAAUUCCCCAUACAGCUCACAGCCCUACCCCGAGCACGCCUCCCUCUUGGGUAUGCUCUCUGCAGGCCCAAACCUUGCAGAAGCCAUUCCAUGUUUCCUGAGCAGGAAAAGACAAACUCAGACCGACAACCUUGGACUUCAAAAGACUGCACACAAGGGGAGGAAGGACUGAGAGUACCAAGGCGUGAGAAUUCAGAAUGCUGCUAUCUCAUUUAUUUUUACCAUUUAGGAAACGUUUUGAUCUGCAUUCCUUUUCCCUUCCCUGAUUUCAAAAAAUAAAAAUAAAAAUGCU